GUCAUAUGGAAGUUUAGCUACAGCUGCUGGCCACAGCCACAGCCACAGCCACAGCCACAGCAGCACCAGAUCCGAGCCACAACUAUGACCUACACCACAGCUCAUGGCAACUCCGAAUCCUUAACCCACUGAGUGAGGCCAGGGAUCGAACUGGCAACACCAUGAAACCUAGUCAGGUUUGUUACUGCUGAGCCACAACAAGAACUCCUCAGACUUUUAAUCUUUAAAACUCUGAGUCCAAAAUUAUUCUAUUCUUUAAGUCAUGCAGUUUGUGGUUCUUUGUUAUAGCAACCCUAACAAAAUAAUAACUUUAUCUGGAAAUAGAGCCUUAGCGAAUGUAAUUGAGUUCAUACUGGAUUAGGGUGGAUCAUAAAUCUUAUGUCUAGUAUGUUUAUAAGGCCAUAUGAAAACACAAAGAUAUGGGGAGACACCCAAGGAAGUACACACAUGUGACAACAGAAUUAGAGACUGGAGCAAUACAACCUCAAGCAGAAGAAUGCCAAUGACUUUUGGCAAUCAGCAGAAAGAUUCUCCUUCAGAACCUCCAGUAGGCACCAACCCUGCCAAUUUCUUGACUUUGGAUUUCUCUACUUCAGACCUGUGAGAGAAUAAAGCUCUUCUGUCUAAAGCCACACAGUUUCUGUAGCAGCCCUGGGAAUCUAAUACAAGGAGUGUUAUAUAUUCUAUCCACUGAAAAAGGACUAUGUGAAGAUUUGUGAUGAGAAAUUGUGCUUCUACAUCUAGUCCAGAAUUUAAGAUUAUCAACUCCAGAAUGAGCUUCUAGGAGAAAUAUUAAAGAUCAAAUGGGAGGGGGAGGGAGUGGGAGGGAUCGGGAGCUUGGGCUCAUCAGACACAACUUAGAAUAGAUUUACAAGGAGAUCCUGCUGAAUAGCAUUGAGAACUUUGUCUAGAUAUUCAUGUUGCAACAGAAGAAAGGGUGGGGGAAAAAAUGUAAUUGUAAUGUAUACAUGUAAGGAUAACCUGACCCCCUCGCUGUACAGUGGGAAAAUAAAAAAAUUAUUAAAAAAAUAUUAUCAACAAAAUGUAUAAUGGAAAGUAAUGCAGGAGUUAAAGCAAAGAUUGCAUCAUAAUUAUUAAGCUGGUAGAUGUUCUAUAAUGUGAAAAAGAAUACAUUAAAAAUGUAUUAUCAUAUUGGAUAGAAGAAAGGAAAGCAUUUUCUACAAAGAAUUUAUUUUGUGACAUAGCUCUUUUUGCUGGUGGCAUGUCUUAUAUGUUUUCAACUUCAACCCCAGUUUCUAUAAGAAAAAAGUAUUUAUUCUGUGGAAAAAUUGAGUUGGACAACUAUAAUGGUCUUUUAAUCAUUGGCUUCAAGAUGCUCUCCCUGCCUGUCAGUAAACAAUGGAACAAUUGAUGCUGUUCUUUUAAAACUUUACAACCCCACAACAUCUACUUCAUUUCAGACUUUCAACUUAAACUAUUUGGCUUUUAGGACACUUAACCACAUCUAUCCAAGGAUAGUACUUCAAAUAUGAAGCUAAAUCUCAGAUUUAAUCUGGUUUCCCAUUCAUCUUCCAACCCCCAAGUGAACCAGAUGUUGUAAUUAUUCUAGCAUUUUCUACUAGCAAAUUGGCCACCAAUUUCAUUUUCUACUUGAUCUGAGAUCCCACAUAAAUAUGAUUAUUGUUGUUGUUUUAUUGUUUUGUUUUAUUCCCUGUGUUCUAAAAUAGUCUCCUUAAAGGAAAUCUAGUUGGCCACUAACAAAUUACUUAUCUUUGGAAAUAUGGACCUCUUUGGUCCUCUUUUUCUGCAUUCGUAAAGGGGGAUAGGACCUCUUUGGUCCUCCAUGUCUGCAUUCGUAAAGGCAGAUAGGAAUCUCACAGUGUGAUAUAAAAUAAAUUACUAAGGCUAAAUGUCUGGAACAUAUUACGAGCUCACCAAAUGUUAAUUCUAUCUCCACUUCCCUUAAUAUUAUACAUUGAACAAUUAAAACAGAAACAGUCAGAUGAGAAUAGAACCACACUGCUUCUUCUACUCUGCUUAGGUACAUGUUAAUUUAAAUCUCUACCUAUGCUCUUUUUAAUCUAAAACCUCCAACUUUAUACUCGAUCCCAUAUUUCUCUAAGAAUAUUAUUCUAGAAGUCUACCAUCUUUCUACUAUAUUUCUAAUUGUUCCCUUCCUUCUACAUACAAAAAUUUCCCUAUUUUUCCCAUAUUAAACUACAGCAGCACAAACAACUUCUAUUAUCCCUUAUGGUUCUAAUUUUUCUGCUCUUUUUAUAGCAAAAAAUCCUAAAAAUAAUUAUUUGUGCUUAGUGACCCCAAAUCUUCACCAAUUCUCUUUUAGACACACUAAAGAAUGUCAGACCCAGAUCAACCUACAAAAAGUUCAUUUAGUAGAGUUGAUCACUCUUCUCUAUUUUGCUGUAUUUUCUUUACUUAGCUUUUAGGACAACAAAAAUAUUUCUGUUUACCUCCCAUCUCACAUGUAAUACUUUCUCAGCCUCCAUAGCCUUUCCUUCUCUUCUCUCAGACCUCUUAAUGUUUGAAUAUCUCAUGGAUUAAUCUUUGGUGUAUUCUUUCUUCUAUUUUCAAACAAUUGCUUUUCUGCUCACAGCUUCAUUACUUUGAAACUUUACCUCCUAUAUCACAAUGACUCUCAAAUUUAUACCUCCAUUGACACCUCUUUUCUGAAUGUCAGAUUGGUUCCUUGAUGUCUACACUUAGAUGUCUAAGAGUCAGCUCAAUUUUAGGUGAUCAAAAAGUGAUGUCCAAAACAUCACCUUUCUACCAUGCCUCCCUGUAAACUAUUCUACAUUCUUUUAUCUCCACCUUAAUUGAUGGCAAAUCUAUUCUUCUAGGUAUUUAGACCAAAAUCUAGGAAUCUUCUCUAACUGCCUGUUUUCCUUCACAAUCCAUAACCAAAUAAUCAAGCAAUGUGAUCUUCAUACUGUAUCAAACCUCUACACAUCCACUGUUACUCCUCUGGUCUGAGCCUGGACCAAGCUGCCAUCUUGUCCAAACUACAAUAGCUUCUUAUUGGCUCUCCCAGUUUCUCCAAAUUCCCCUGUAAUCUACUCUCAAUACAUAAGCCUGAAUGAUCUAUUUAAUAUAAAGUCAGAGCAUUCUGAACCUCAUUCCCUCUUUCUACUCUUUCCAGAUUUACUAUACUCCUAGCUGUUCCUUAAAGACACAAGGCAGACUCCCACCUUAAUGCCUUUGUACUUGUUCCUUGCUGCGCUCUUUUCCCAGACAUCCGUUUCAAGAUAUCUGGGAAAAGAGGACUAUAUGACUAUCUUAUUCACAUUUACCUUCACCCUCCACACCAAACACUUGAGCUGUUUAUUUCUCAUCUGCUUAUAUCUUUCAAAUUUAGUUGUUAUGAUGUUCAUUGUCUAUAAUUUGUCACCACACAGUAGCAUAGAAGUUCUAGGAGGGCAAGGAUUUUUGUUGUUGUUGUUUUGGGUUUUUUUAACUGAUGUAUCUUGGGGGCCUAGAGUGGUAAUUAAUCAGUGUAGAGUAAGGACAAUAAACAUUUGUUAAGAGAAUAAAUGAUUUAGAUAGAAAUGCAUAAGCGUGAAGGAAAAGCAUUCUAAAAUAUAACUGCCUUUUAAAAUCCUAAAAACAUUGACAGUGAUAGGAGUCAUUUUUACACAUAUUUAAUUAAGAAAAAAAUCAGUCUCUAUAAAUCACCAAAUAAGCCCUAAGUUUGUGGAAAAGGCUCUUGAAUGAAUUCAAUAUUAUCUAAGAUAAAAACUAUUAAACAAUGCAUGAAAGUAAAAUAUUUAUUAAAAUCAGUAAUAAGAGUCUCAAGGAGUCAAGAAUUAUACCAGCACCAUCUAGAAAAAUUCUAAUUUUCUAUACAAUAAAAAUUGGGGGAAGUGAAAAAAAGUUAACUGCUGCAGAAAUUAAAAUUAAUUCUGUAUUCAUCUCACAGGAACUAUAUAAAUAAUAGUAAAAGAACUGGAGAAACCAAACAACUCUAGGGUGUCCAUAAGCCAAUCAAUUUGCUGUGGAUUCUCUGGUCCUUUGUUUUUCCUUCUCAUGUUUACUGCCUAAUAUUUGACUACUUUACUGUUUGUUGGCACUCUCACAAGACAGCAAUCUAGAGAAACAAAAUGAAAUAUAAGCAAAUUAAAGCUACUCCUGAGAGCAGCUAGGAAGACUAUGUUGGGAUUUUGGUCUGGACAGUGAGAAACAUGUUCACUAAAAUGGGUACUAAGCACUUUUCUUUGGAAAUCAGUUGCUAACAUUGGUUUGAACCAAUUCAAUUAAAGUGAGCAUUAAACCCAACUAAAACAAAGUCAACUGAUAGAAUAAAAUGAAUUCACAAUAUAUUUGAAUGUGCAAAAGCAAGCAGGAAGAAAAGAAGGGCUAGAAGGGGAGAUAUACAAGAUUCUGCGGUAGAAAGCAUCCACAUGGGAUAAUUUAACAUAAUGAAAAUGCAUCUAAUAUAAGCAAGAACCAGGGCCAAAUCUGACUCUCCCACUUACCAAAAACUGGGUCAGAACACUUAACUUUCAGAACCUACUUUCAUAUUGUAAAAUAAGGAUAGUCAUUUACUUUGCUCAGAAACUUUUUGUGAUAAAUUAUGUCUGUCCUCUACAACCAAAUUUCAGUUUCUAUCACAUGUUUUCUGCCUAUCUGGCCCAGUGCUGACAGUCAUCUCAUUUUAAGCAUGCAUCCUUUUUUCAAUUUUGCAAGAGUAAAACACAAAAAAAAACCCCGAAAAACAAACAAAAAAACAAAUCUAGAGAGUAAUUACCAUAUGACUAAAACUAUCAUGGGAAAUUUAACAAGAUAAAUUAAAACACAUAACUAGGAGGACCUGUUCUAAAUA
rnacentral:lncRNA from 1 species